GGUAACCUACCUAUAAGACUGGGAUAACUUCGGGAAACCGGAGCUAAUACCGGAUAAUAUAUUGAACCGCAUGGUUCAAUAGUGAAAGACGGUUUUGCUGUCACUUAUAGAUGGAUCCGCGCCGCAUUAGCUAGUUGGUAAGGUAACGGCUUACCAAGGCAACGAUGCGUAGCCGACCUGAGAGGGUGAUCGGCCACACUGGAACUGAGACACGGUCCAG
rnacentral:rRNA from 1 species